UAUUUUGACUAUACGAAGGUAUUGAAAUAAGGCUUUUAUUGAGUGCUAAGAGAAUGGCUAUACAGAGAUUAGCUUUCUUUAAAUUUAUAAUAGAAUUUAAUUUAAAAAUGAAAAAGUUUUUAUGAUUUUUUGGGACAAGAAGACCCUAUGAAUUUUUUUUUAAAAAUUUAUUUAUAACUUUUAAGAUAAUAAGUUAAAUUGGAUUUUAAGUUGAUUGGGGCGAUUUUUAAAGAUUAAGUAUCUUUAAAAUUUUUGUUAAUUUGAUCCAUAAUUUAUGAUUGUUUGAUUAAAAUACUCUAGGGAUAACAGCGUGAUUAUUUUGGAUAGUUCAUAUAGAUAAAAUAGUUUGCGACCUCGAUGUUGGAUUAAGAUUCUUAUAUAAUGUAGUAGUUAUGUAAGAAGUUGCUCACUUUGA
rnacentral:rRNA from 1 species